rnacentral:rRNA from 1 species
GACAGGACGUAGCUGAUGCAGCACGCGCGUGAGUGAUGAGGUCUUCGGGUGUAACUCUCUGUCAUCAGGGACGAUAAUGACAGUACCUGACGAUAAGCAUCGGCUAACUACGUGCCAGCAGCCGCGGUCAUGUAU